UACGAAGGGGCUAGCGUUGCUCGGAAUCACUGGGCGUAAAGCGCACGUAGGCGGAUUGUUAAGUCAGGGGUGAAAUCCUGGAGCUCAACUCCAGAACUGCCUUGAUACUGGCGAUCUCGAGUCCGGGAGAGGUGAGUGGAACUGCGGAGUGUAGAGGUGAAAUUCGUAGAUAUUCGCAAGAACACCAGUGGCGAAGGCGGACUCGACUGGCCCGGUUACGUCGACG
rnacentral:rRNA from 1 species